rnacentral:lncRNA from 1 species
AUGUGUUUGAUAUGUCUAUUAAAGAACGAAAUUUUUGGGCUCUUGUUUUCCGCUGCGUCGUAUUUUAAGUUAUUAUACGUUAGUCUUACAGGGAAUUGUUCUUAUUACGAACGGUUGGUAUCAGAGCCCUGGUUUGAGAGAAUCAAGUAACAGGAGGUAAAUACUUGAACUCAAACCGGUGUGCUCUCGUGACCAAGAACCCGUACAAUCUAAGACUCGAUCGAGGCCUAAAUGCAAAAGCGAAUGUAAGUAUGUAUUAGAUUAUGUAUUUGAAGGAAACUAAUAGUAUGUUAUGUGCAAGGUAAGCUUAAGAGUUUGAAGAGGGUGAUCCGUGAAUGCGGAAUAGGAUGAACGCCAAGACGGGCGAAGGUGCAACUAGGCAAAUUAACCCCAGGUACACAAUACUAAUAUGUAUGAGUACCGAUGUCAAAAUAAAAAGGAAAGGGUCUCCUUGGGAGGGUAAUUAUUAAACGAAAGACCAUGAUGUGGUCUUGGGGAAGUUUUAGAAAUAUGCACGAAACCGAAACCCAUCUCUCGGGCGUAAGGCGAUGAUUACACGAAGGCACGAAACUAGUGUGUGGAUUGCGCACCUGGCCAGUACGCAAGAAGCGUAUGAGGUUCGUGAGACCGUGGCAAUUAUUGCAGGUAUGCCCGGUAGAACUGGGUAGUAGGUGGGCGCUAUGUUGUAGCGAAUGCGAAAUAGCAAACCAUUGCGGAUUUGGUUAUGCUAACGAAGGUUAUGAUAAGCUAUGUGAGCCGACCGGUUCUAACAAACAAGUCGAGCAAGAAUAAGCUACCAUCCGUUUUGAACGGGUGACUUUGAAUGCUCUCAUGAAUGCUAGAAGCUUAAUCCGUUAUACGGAUAUAAAGAAGAAUUUAUGUUAAAAGCGAAGAACCCAAUUACUUGGGUAGUCGAAUUCGAAUGUGUAUGCUUAACUCUCUUUGAGAGUGUUUAUGCCGAACCCAAUUACUUGGGUAGUCGAAUAUGAUAAGGUAAGUGAUUCAUGUAAUCACUUCUUAGUACAAGUAAGUAAUAUACUGUUUAAAUUAAUUGAACAUAAUGUUUGAAGUCAUAUAUGUGAUGAAGUCUUUCAUUGUAAAUGAUUGAAUUAAAGUUGACCAAAAUGCCCUUGAAGGGUAUUUUGGGCAAACGAUAGUAAAAAGUGGUUUAGAACCAAGUUGUUCGAUCAAUGUAAUGUUUUAGAUAAGUAUGGAAGUGAGAAGUAUGGUCUUUGUAAUCCAUAGACCUUACAAUGCGUAAAUACCCAUUACGGGUCAAAAUGAGCUUUUGAGCGAAAAAUAGAUUAAGAGAACGCUAGACAUCCGAGAAUUUAAUCUUUAUGAUAGGCGUCAAUGAAACCAUUAAGUUCUUAUGAGAUUGAGGUCAAUUAAACAGUUUACGAUGAUAACUGCACGAACGGGUCAAAUAAUUAGAAGGUCAUAAUAAGCCGAAUGCAUGUAAGUUAAGAAUUUCCUUAAUCCGGAUGUGGGAUUUUAAGUUUAUAUGAUGGAAUGUGAAUUUACAAGCGUGUAGGAGGAAACAGGAGGUUAAACGGGUCAAAAGUUACGCGCGUUUUAGU